rnacentral:misc_RNA from 1 species
ACAGCGCAAUUUACCAAGGUUCUUCUUCAAGACAGAAAAACAAAAAAAAACACGCAGUUCGUUGUUUAGCCAUUCGAUGGCGGCGGCGGCGGCUGAGAUCGAUGGACCGAUCGAUCGAUCUCCCAUCGCUCGCCCUCGCCGGCGGCGGCGCGGCUACACCGCUACACGCAGUUGCCGCUGCACCGGUCCCUCGUUUCGUAGCACUGGUUGGGCUUCAAGGCCCCGCAGCAGAAGCACGGGGCGUUGCCACGGCCUUCGUACACGCAGUUCCUCUGGAUGCAGAACUGCAGCUUCAGUACGGCGCCGGGGCCGGGGCCGGGGCCGCCGCCGUUGACUGGCGGCGCCGUGCCAUUGCCGUUAACGUUGCCGCCGCCGUCGAGUGGCUCAGGACGACCUGCUGCUACAAACGUUAUUAGUUCGUAUGUCCAUUCGUUACCAUUGAAUAAACAAGCGGCCCAAAAGAAAACAAGCUAGCUCAUUUUUGAACUACGACAAAUAAAAAAAAAGAACGGAGGGAGUACAAUGCAACGACUAACUACAGAUUAAAUCUACUAAUAACACAUCUUGCUCGAACUCAACAUGAGACAAACAACCUGUAAAAAAAAUCACAACCAUAGAUCUGUUUCAGAAGGUAUGAUGAUGACUUUUUAAACCCAACCAACAGCUUGAUGAGGAUCGAUCGAGGGCAUAGACGAUGAAUGUACACUUGCAUUUUGCAGAGGACGCGAAGAGCGCAACGAGCAGGACGACUGCCACCAGGUACGACGCCAUGGCGCCGCCGCCGCACCUGUCCAUGCCCCGAUGCCGCCGCCUACGACGUACGAGCACGGCUGUCGAUCGACG